rnacentral:misc_RNA from 1 species
GCAACCCUCAAGCACGGCUUGUGUGUUGGGCUAUCGUGCCGACGAGUCCCCUCUUCCGGGGGGCGGUUCGUGGGCACGGGUCCGAAAUGCAGUGGCGGCGUCACGGUUCGACCUCGCAAGCGUAUGGGGCUCUGUCACACGCUGGGCGGUCGGACGUACCUACGCCUGUCGAAAACCAUAUUUCUCA